rnacentral:rRNA from 1 species
GGCCUGUUGUUUAUGAUUUCAGGUCUGACCUGCCCAAUGAUUAAAUUAAAUGGCCGCGGUAUUUUGACCGUGCAAAGGUAGCAUAAUCAUUAGUUUUUUAAUUGGAAGCUUGUAUGAAGGGUUUGAUGAGAAAAUUACUGUCUCUAGAAAAUUUUUUUAGAAUUUUAUUUUUAAGUUAAAAAGCUUAAAUUUAUAUAGAAGACGAGAAGACCCUAUAGAGUUUAAUAGUCAAAGAAAAAUUGGUAUUUUAGGUUUAGAAAAUUUGGUUUUUCUCUAACUAUUUUGUUGGGGUGACGGAAAAAUUGAAGAAACUUUUUUUUUAUGAAUACAUUUAUUUGUGAGUUUUUGAUCCUGUAAUUUAGAUUAUAAGAUGAAAUUACCUUAGGGAUAACAGCGUAAUUUUUUUUAGAGUUCUUAUCGAAAAAGAAGAUUGCGACCUCGAUGUUGGAUUAAAAUUUAUUAUUGGUGUAGAAGCUGAUAGAUUAGGUCUGUUCGACCUUUAAAAUUUUACAUGAUCUGAGUUUAAACCGGUGUGAG